rnacentral:lncRNA from 1 species
CAUUUAGUCCAGGGCCCCACACUGGUUAACCAGUUCUGUUACUGACAAAGCUGGUCCCCUAUAAGAUGGAGUCUUUCCCUGUUCAGUGUCAUGAAACCAAAUGUGGGAAACUGAAAGUGAUUUUCAAGCAGUACAGACUUAUUUAAUGGUCAUGGAAUUGAGAAGUGGGAGCAUGGCUCAUGAGUCAACUUCUUGACUAGCAAAUGGGGCAUAUUGUCCUGGAAUUAUGGCCAACAUUCUACAGGGCAACAGGUCAUUGAUUCUGAUCCUGCCAGCCUCCACCCAUCUUAUUGGUGGGCAUCAUCCCAGGGUGAACCUGUGAAAGAUAUUGCUUAGUACUGCUUGGAGCAAUAUUCUUUUAUUGAUGAAGCUGUCAGAAGAGAGGAAAAUCCCAGGGUGAAAAGAUUAAGGAAAAGAGAAAAUAAGAAUGGAAAAUGGAUGACAGAUGAGAAGAAAUGGCUUGAAAUACCUGUUGGAAAUUUCUAUCUGAUGACACAAACAGUCCAUUACCACGGCUUCAUAAAUUCACAUCAUAAUCUAUCUCUCUUCAGUUUUCCUCUUUCCCUGUUGCUUUAUAAUACAUAAAAUAAUCUAGAGAGAACUACAGAAAAUAAAAAUUAAAAUGCAAACUUAUUCCCAACAAGCUUUCUUUUUCUUGUAGAUGUUUGCAUCACUUUUUAAAAUAUUUCCCAUGGUUUUACUUCAUUCAUAUUAGAACCUAAGCUCUUCAAGAAGACAGUAACUUUUUAUUAUUUUACUAUCAUAGACAUCAAUUAAAUAUCAGCACAUAAGGCUACUGACAUUUAAUUAUCUAAGAUUUUUUUUUGAGAAAGUCUUUAUUUACCAAGAUUUUCAAUGACCUUCUGUGUCAAACUCUGGGCUCUUCUUCAUCAUUGAUACUUGCCUUUCUGAGAUACUCAAUAUCAUUAAACACCCUCUCCUUCAGGUAGCAGGCUGUUCCAUUUUACCAUUCUUCCUGCUUGUUCUUCACCUUUUAUUUUUUGUCUUUAAAAGAAAAGAUUAUGUUCUUUCUCCUUUAUAAAAAUAUGUUCCAGCCAUACUGAAUUACUUCCUGUGCUUUGUGCCCACUGUGCUACCUCAUGC